AAUGAAAUGGUUCGGUUAGAUGAUCAUUGUUAUCGUUUGAAUAAUCAUGAAUUUGUAUGAGUUGGUGUUUUCUAUUAUGCAUGUAAUAAGAGUUUUAUGAAUCUUUGGUAUUUGGAUUUAGGUAUUCAUGCGUUGUGGUUUUCUACCCUUCGAGAUAGUCGGUUUUCAAAAAUAGAGUUUUCGAGUGGAAAACAGUUUUAAAAGGUUUUCGAAUAAUUUUCAUAGAUGAACAAAUAGAGUUUAAAAACAAAACCUCCUGAUAGGGAGCACUUUUAAAUAGGAUGAUUGUUGUAAUAUGCAUCACAUCAUCCAACGCCUAAGGAGUGUUUAGAGGCAUACAUCAUCUUUAAGGAUCGCUAGCUAUAUGGUAUUGCAUCGCAUCAUUUGCUUGUGGAUUGGUGAAUGUAGGUUUUGAGUUGUGAUCCUGUUGUUGUUAUCGUUGGGUACGCCGUGUAAAUACAAAGGAGACUCUAUUCGUGUGGGCAAAGAAACUUUAUAUUUGUUGCGGGUUUGUACGCCACGUAGGCCAGGUUGAAUUCAAAAAAAAAAAAGCAUAUUUUCCGCAACUUUGAUUUCUAAAAUAGUAUUCAUUAUAAAAAGACUUUUAAAUUCGGCCCCGGGGCGUGAUACUAUACUACUUAUAAAAGCGUGAGUUUUUUAUUUUUUAUUUUUUCCGAAAAUGACUCUAUCUUUUUUACUAAUUUUUUUUAUGUCCAGAAAUUUUGAACCAUUCAUUUCAAAUAAUUCACUAAGUAAUAAUUUAUUCUCAAAUAAAGAUAUUAAUUUUUUGCCAUUAAAUCUCAUUUAACGAUUGAAAAUAAAGAUAUCUGUCACUUUUUGUGACAAUAAUACUCUCGCAUUUAUAUCGUAUCUUUUAUUUACGCGUUUUUCAAAUAUUUUUCUUCUCACGCGUAAUCCCCGUACCCGUCAAUCCUUUCUCAACAUAAUAUCCGUGAAUUUGUCAAAUUAUUCAUCAAUCCACCUAUCAUACAUGUCUACCGCCUACAUAAUAUCCAACUAAUCUUUCUCACACGCAAUACCCGCGUGUUUCUCAAAUACCUCAUCAUAAUUCUAAUCUUUUCUCAUCGUUUCUAAAAAAUUCUCUCAACCUAUCAUAAUUUUGAAUUAAACAUAUCAUUGCAUUUAAAUUUAAAUAUUAAAGUAGAUCAAAAUUAAAUUUUAAAUUUUAAUUAAACAUAAAUUUUAUUACGGAAAUGUCUCUAUCUUUUAACUAAUUUUUCAUGUCCAAAAAUUUUGAACCAUUCAUCUCAAAUAAUCCAUUAAAUUUUGAAUUCGUCAAAAACAUAUAAUAUCUCCACUACUCUCGCAUUUGAAUUUAAAUCUUAAAAAAAAUUUGAAUUUUGAAUUAAACAUAAAUUUCUUUCCGAAGAUGUCUCUAUCUUUUUAACUAAUUUUUUCAUGGCCAGAAAUUUUGAACCAUUCAUUAAAUUUUGGAUUUGUCA
rnacentral:lncRNA from 1 species